UUCCAGGUCUGGUGACAUUAAGGAGUUAGUAUGCAGAGGUCAAGGUCUGAACUAAAAGUCGAAAUGACAAGUUAGAGCCUUUUAUGAGGGGUGAUAUCAAAGAGCUCCCUUAAUUGAUGAAAUGCAGCCUCUGAAAUGGGACUUCAAAUGUGCACAGUGGACCUCUCUAUGCCUUCCGCCUCUGCACCUGCUUCAGGGUUUGGAAACACCUGUAAUUUACAUGGGAGAGGAAGCACAGGGCCGAAACUGGAAGUCUGUUCUCACCAUUCCCCAAGGCAUUAGCUCUGAUGUUGGACGUGUGGCAAAAGAGGCUUCUUUGCAACAGUUUGCUCUCAAGGCCUCUCUAAACCCAGCGGGGAAGGCAAUCACCGCAGUGCAGCUCCCCGCACCUUCUGGAGCAGAUCAAUAUUCUGACAGCGCGAAGCUUUGUUCCUUCCCCAGCUUUAAGAUGUUCUGCAUGCUCUACAUGAUUGCUUAAAGGCUUGCUUUCCCUUCCCCAUAUGACAACACUGCUCCCGCCCUGAUCUUCCUAAUACUAUCACUGUAAUUGCCUGGACAUGAAAUAACUGCACAAACCCAG